CCUACGGGCGGCAGCAGUCGAGAAUCAUUCACAAUGGGGGAAACCCUGAUGGUGCGACGCCGCGUGGGGGAAUGAAGGUCUUCGGAUUGUAAACCCCUGUCAUGUGGGAGCAAAUUAAAAAGAUAGUACCACAAGAGGAAGAGACGGCUAACUCUGUGCCAGCAGCCGCGGUAAUACAGAGGUCUCAAGCGUUGUUCGGAAUCACUGGGCGGAAAGCGUGCGGAGGCUGUUUCGUAAGUCGUGUGUGAAAGGCGCGGGCUCAACCCGCGGACGGCACAUGAUACUGCGAGACUAGAGUAAUGGAGGGGGAACCGGAAUUCUCGGUGUAGCAGGGAAAUGCGUAGAUAUCGAGAGGAACACUCGUGGCGAAGGCGGGUUCCUGGACAUUAACUGACGCUGAGGCACGAAGGCCAGGGGAGCGAAAGGGAUUAGAUACCCGGGUAGUC
rnacentral:rRNA from 1 species